AAGUAUCUUCGGACUGUGGUGACAGGUGCUGCAUGGCCGUCGUCAGCUCGUGUCGUGAGAUGUUUGGUUAAGUCCAUUAACGAGCGCAACCCUUGUAGUUAGUUGUAUUUUUCUAGCUAGACUGCCUUGGUAACAGGGAGGAAGGGGGGGAUGAUGUCAGGUCAGUAUUGCCCUUACACCUGGGGCUACAAACACGCUACAAUGGCCAGUACAAAGGGCAGCCAAGUCGCAAGACGGAGCAAAUCCCAUCAAAACUGGUCUCAGUUCGGAUUGAGGGCUGAAACUCGCCCUCAUGAAGCUGGAAUCGCUAGUAACGGUAGGUCAGCAUUACUACCGUGAAUACGUUCCCGGGUCUUGUCACCCNCCGA
rnacentral:rRNA from 1 species